UAACCUGGUGAUAACUUCCUUGCUCAUUUCUUUCAAAUAGGAACAUUUGUGACUAAUAUUUAGUCUAGAGUGGAAGCAAUUGUGAACUGAAACAGUUUUGAACAACAAAUUGAGCUGUGGCAGAGAAAUUCAGUUUUUGGGGUCUUGUCAAAGAAAUGUGUCUUGUGCUCUUUUCAACAUGAGAGUCAUAUUGUGUCUCAAUCAGACUCACAUGAAAUACACAUGGUGUGUACUCGGGUCUUCUGAUUCAACUAUGGCUGUGCUGGCUUUAGAUUAAGUCAGUAAUGCAAGUAGAAACAGUGUUGGCGUUCAGACAGAUGGGACGAGAGACUGAUACAAGUUGCAGUAUUGUUAACUGACACGCUUUUGCCUUGGAGACUAUUUGUCUUCCAGCCCCUGUACUUGGCAGCUCAUCUGAGGGCCUUGGGGCAGAUCUCUUGACGCACCGCUGACAGAUCCGCCUGUUCUGGACCGUGGUGAUGAUGAGAGAGCAGACCAGAGGAAAGGGGGGGGGGGGAAGAUGAGGAGAGAGCGAGAGGUGAAAGUGAAGAAUGGAGGGAAGGAGAACACAGAGGAGCGGUGCUUCAGAUCCUCAGGGGCCGGGCCUCACACAACGUAGGCCCUCUCCUCCGUCCUCCCUGCCUCUUCCCUCCUCCACCUCCAUUGCUCUGUCACUCAGGACUAGACUAUUUCAUUUUAAUAAGGCUAAUCCCUCCUAGAAGUAAGCUGCUCAUCACCUCUCCCCCUCCUGCUCCUCCAGACGAGAGCAAUCUCCUUUCACCGUGAGGACAGGAUGAGGGUGAGGGUUUGCUCCGCUUGAUAGGAGACAAAAAAUGUGAAAGGUGAGACUGAAAAGAAGCCUUGACAGCAGCUGUGGUCGGACUCAAUGAGAAGAUUUAGGCCUCCGUGGUUUGAUAAACUUGCAGGUGGCACACCUUUUGUAGCGAUUCAUCCUCUAACCAGUCAGUAACAUCAUGCUGAAAUGAGGCGCGGUGAUAACUUUGUUCUCCGCAGAGGAAGUGGAGUGACACAGUUGGUAUUUUAGUUUAUGCUAUCGCCUGCCUCCUGUCAGCAGAGCACUCUCCAGCUGUCAGCAGUAAAACUUAGUUUGCCUUCUGCAUUAGAAGUCCAUUGAUGCUGACUAGCUAUGAUAACUUCUUUUCUUUGAGGAAUAGUUCCACAUUUUGGAAGAAAUGCGCUUCUACGCUUUCUUGCUGAGCCUUAAAUAAGAUGAUCUGUUCCACUCAUGUCUGUACGAUAAAUACGAAGCUGCAGCCGGCUAGCAUAGCUUACAGAGGAAAACGGCUAGCCUGGCCCUGUCCAACAGCUGGCAAAAUUCACUCACUUGCACUUCUAAAGCGUAUUAAAUUAACGCGUUAUUUAAACCAUACAAAAUCUUGAAUGCGGAAAUAAACCACAGGGAUUAUGUACCGACUAUUUCCGACUGUUUUCAGUCUUUGUGCUAUACUAAGCUCGGCUAACGAGAUAUGCGAGAGCUGUAUCCAUGUUCUCGCAAGAAAAGCAAAUGGGUGCACUUCCCAAAAUGUGGAAAAAAUCCUUUUGAUCAAAAAUACGCAUAAAGGGGCGUCCCGGUAGCUCACCCGGUAGCACAGGCGACCCAUAUAUAAAGGCUGAGUCCUUGCCACAGCGGCCACUGGUUCGAGUUCAACCUGUGGCAAUUGGCUGUAUGUCGUUCCCCUUCUCUCUCUCUCCCCCUUUUACAAUCUGCACUUCUCACUAUCAUAAAGGCAUGAAAAGCCCAACAAUAUAACUUACUACCUCACUUUCAAAAUUCAUAGCAAUUCAUAUUGUGAAUGUAUGUGUGAACGUCGUGCAAACAAAUGAACUUUAUUUCAUAGAAGCAAAGUUAUGUAGCCUACACAUUUUGCUUUGGUUCACCCUAUCUUUCAAUCACUGCCUGUUUGUCUGUUGUCAUCACUGAUGAAAGUACAGUAUGUUUAAAAAAGACAGUUUGAAGUUUCUAUAGGAAAAGCCUGAAGGGUUUUCAAUAUGUUUGCCCUGAUAGACUGAUAGUGUAGAUGACAGAUCCCACUCUGAAGGAAUAUUAUCCUGCUCUGGGUUUUUGCCCAGAUAUUGUAUGAAAACCUAAACCUGAAGUUCUCUGGUAGAAAUAUGAAUAUUUCCUCACUGCAGUAUCUUCUUUUGAUGUGGAUUAGGAGGCAGAGCAUCAGUCAGUCAUGCUGCCUGGCACAGCAUGCUUGAGUGAGAAUCUCCUGCCUGGGAGGAAGUUCUUACUCAGAAUAAUGACAAACUUGGAAAGUGGAACCUUUUAAAUGAAUGUAAUACUAAAUUGUAGUAAAACAUAGCAGUUGUAUUCAAAGAGUAGCUAACAGUAACU